rnacentral:rRNA from 1 species
GCCGCGCUUNNGCGCCGCUACNGGGCGCGUCCNUUNGCCAUNCNGGNUGCGCAACUGUUGGGAAGGGCNAUCGGUGCGGGCCUNUUCGCUAUUACGCCAGCUGGCGAAAGGGGGAUGUGCUGCAAGGCGAUUAAGUUGGGUAACGNCAGGGUUUUCCCAGUCACGACGUUGUAAAACGACGGCCAGUGAAUUGUAAUACGACUCACUAUAGGGCGAAUUGGGCCCGACGUCGCAUGCUCCCGGCCGCCAUGGCGGCCGCGGGAAUUCGAUUAGAGUUUGAUCCUGGCUCAGGAUGAACGCNGGCGGCGUGCUUAACACAUGCAAGUCGAACGGGGUGCUCAUGACGGAGGAUUCGUCCAACGGAUUGAGUUACCUAGUGGCGGACGGGUGAGUAACGCGUGAGGAACCUGCCUUGGAGAGGGGAAUAACACUCCGAAAGGAGUGCUAAUACCGCAUGAUGCAGUUGGGUCGCAUGGCUCUGACUGCCAAAGAUUUAUCGCUCUGAGAUGGCCUCGCGUCUGAUUAGCUAGUAGGCGGGGUAACGGCCCACCUAGGCGACGAUCAGUAGCCGGACUGAGAGGUUGACCGGCCACAUUGGGACUGAGACACGGCCCAGACUCCUACGGGAGGCAGCAGUGGGGAAUAUUGGGCAAUGGGCGCAAGCCUGACCCAGCAACGCCGCGUGAAGGAAGAAGGCUUUCGGGUUGUAAACUUCUUUUGUCGGGGACGAAACAAAUGACGGUACCCGACGAAUAAGCCACGGCUAACUACGUGCCAGCAGCCGCGGUAAUACGUAGGUGGCAAGCGUUAUCCGGAUUUACUGGGUGUAAAGGGCGUGUAGGCGGGAUUGCAAGUCAGAUGAAUCACUAGUGAAUUCGCGGCCGCCUGCAGGUCGACCAUAUGGGAGAGCUCCC